rnacentral:rRNA from 1 species
UACGUAGGGGGCUAGCGUUGUCCGGAAUCAUUGGGCGUAAAGAGCGUGUAGGCGGCCAGAUAGGUCCGUUGUGAAAACUGGAGGCUUAACCUCCAGCGGUCGAUGGAAACCAUUUGGCUAGAGUCCGGAAGAGGAGAGUGGAAUUCCUGGUGUAGCGGUGAAAUGCGCAGAUAUCAGGAAGAACACCCGUGGCGAAGGCGGCUCUCUGGGACGGUACUGACGCUGAGACGCGAAAGCGUGGGGAGCGAACAGG